UACGUAGGGGGCGAGCGUUGUCCGGAUUUAUUGGGCGUAAAGAGCUCGUAGGCGGUUCGGUAAGUCGGAUGCGAAAUCUCCACGCUCAACGUGGAGGGGCCAUUCGAUACUGCCGUGACUCGAGUCCGGUAGGGGAGUGUGGAAUUCCCGGUGUAGCAGUGAAAUGCGUAGAGAUCGGGAGGAACAUCUGUGGCGAAGGCGACUACCUGGACCAGCACUGACACUGAGGCACGAAAGCGUGGGGAGCAAACAGG
rnacentral:rRNA from 1 species